UGCAGCACAUGCCGCCUAGUGGGAAGAUGCAGAAAACAAUCAGCACAUGAAUUCCCACAGGAUGCUCUGGGUGGUCAGUGGUGGUCACUGUAUGCAGCGGGUUCGGGUCACCGUGUAGCAUCCGACUCCGUUUGUCUUUUUUUUUUUUGAAUCUUCUCUCGAAAUUUGUCAGGUUUCAACAAAGGAAAAACAAAAUCGGUGUGCAUGCUGCAUGCAUACUGAAGAAUUGUAUAUUUGUACCGCAUGUUUUUUUUUUGGCCAGUGUCAUCAGUUGGGGCGCAGGAGUUCCAUAAUAAGUCUUCUAUUUGGAAAAGCAUUUUCUCUUUGCACUACCACUAUUUGUCUACUUGAUUUUGAAUUUUGAUGAAAUCAUACGGCUUGCGGUACGAAUCCGCCACCGGGUCCGAGAUCCGACCCCCGGUUACCAAAUAGCGCCGCUUGCUACAUGCUAGUGGUAUGAUAGUGAUUAUAGUAUCCGGCACUGAAAAAAAACCCGCCCAAAGCCCAUGUUAACUCCCACCACCUCUCCUCGAUCCUUGCUCUAAUCCACACACCACCCACUACCUCCCUGAGCUCGCACACUGUCCCAGGAGGAACACACCACCAGGCACCAGGGGCCUGCAGCCCUCUGCACUUCCUGCUGCAGUCUGCAGAUGAUGAUGAGUUCUUCCAGCAGCAGCAGGGUUUGUCCAGUGGCGCUGCCACUGCUGCUAGUGGCGCUCCUCCUCCUGAGCUCGUGUCCAGCUGCGUGGUGCACGGAGCUGACGAGCGCUGCCGACGCGGGUGCCGCCAGCGGCCGACCGGCGGCUCGGCGGAUGCUGGUGUCACGGCCGUCAACGAGCCGGCAGAAGGCCGAGCAGGCGCAGCAGCAAAUGCGGGUCGACGGCCGGAGGAUGCCAUUCAAGCAGGCCGCGGCGAGCUUCGGCCGGAGGAUACCCAGAUCCGGCUGGAACCCGAUCCAGAACAGAUGAGCAUGGUGUUUCAUGUUUCAGGGAAUUAGCGCCGGUGAGGUCCUGGUCCCGAAUGAAGCCAUCAGCCAUGGGGCAUGGUCGCAUGGACGAACCUGACCAUUGGAUGGUUUGGAAGCGCGCGCGAUCGAGGAGCAAGGAAAUCGCACACCGUCCGAUCGAGUUUUAGGAUCGUCGUCGCGUCUGCAUGUACUAGCUGCUACCUAGGCUAGCUUUUGCAAUUUUGUAGUGCUAGUAGUUCACUAGUUUUUCCCCCUUUUUUUUUGGUUUAUAUAGUUAUUGUUAGUGUAUGUUAAUUAGCCAGUCAGAUGGGCAGUAGCUAGCAGGUUAUGUCAGCGUAGCUAAGCUCUUUUCCGUU